rnacentral:rRNA from 1 species
CCUANGGGAGGCUGCAACUGGGAAUCGUACGCAAUGGACGAAAGUCUGACGUCGCGACGCCGCGUGAGGGAUGAAGGCGUUUUCGUUGUAAACCUCUUUUGCCAUAGUUGAGAGACUAUGGAGAAUAAGCACCGGCUAACUCCGUGCCAGCAGCAGCGGUAAUACGGAGGGUGCAAGCGUUAUCCGGAUUUAUUGGGCGUAAAGCGUUUCGUAGGCUAUAAAAUAAGUCACUUUUCAAAGCCCCCGGCUCAACCGGGGAAAGGGGGGUGAUACUACUUUAUUUGAAUCAUCUAGGGGCUACCGGAACUAUCGGUGUAGGAGUGAAAUCCGUUGAUAUCGAUAGGAACACCGAGGGCGAAGGCAGGUAGCUGGGGAUGUAUUGACGCUGAGGAACGAAAGCUAGGGGAGCGAAAGGGAUUAGAUACCCCANUANUC